UGACACACACACACAGUCCAAGGACCUGAGUCUGUUCAGACUGACCACACACUCCAAGGACCUUAGCCUGUUCAGACUGACAACAACACAGUCCAAGGACCUGAGCCUGUUCAGACUGACCACACAGACCAAGGACCUGAGCCUGUUCAGACUGACCACACAGUCCAAGGACCUGAGUCUGUUCAGACUGACCACACAGUCCAAGGACCUGAGUCUGUUCAGACUGACAACAACACAGUCCAAGGACCUGAGCCUGUUCAGACUGACAACACAGUCCAAGGACCUGAGGGGGGCAAGGAGAAGGACACCAUGAGUUCCAUAGAUCUAAAAGUCCUACUGAUUCCUCUGGGAAUGUUGGUGGUGGUGAUAUCUGGUGUCCUAGUCACAUGGAAGAUCCCUACACUACCACCUUCAUUGAUCCUCACUCAUUAAACACCUUGUGCAGUAAAAAUCACUGCUGCUGCUAACUGUUCAAUAUACAUUACACUGCCUCUAGAAAUAAUGGGAGAGAACAUUCUUCUACCUGCCAAAAAUGGGUAAUGCAUUGCUCUUCCUACUGUGUACCAUCAUUGCUGUGGUGAAGUUCAAGGCAAACCGACUCCGUGGUGAAACUAAAGAUGAGUAGAAACCAGACAGGUCUCUCUGGUGAGACCAAGGGACAGAUUUACUUCUUGUACCUGCUUUUUCAGGGAUAAAACACAAAUAAGAAACUGUUCAUUUAUGUUACAUUUGAUGGUCUUUGACCUAAAUUGACCAUUUAAUCCAUAUGUUGUAGGCCACAUAUUAUUUGUUUCGUAGUUGAUCUUAUUUACUGAAUCAUAGUCUUACUGUACUAUUGUCACGUCCUGACCAUAGUGCUUAUGUGUUUUGCUUGUUUUAGUGUUGGUCAGGACGUGAGCUGG